rfam:Alligator mississippiensis ScZkoYb_4, whole genome shotgun sequence.
GUCUACGGUCAUACCGCCCUGAACGCACCCGAUCUCGUCUGAUCUCGGAAGUUAAGCAGGGCCGGGCCUGGUUAGUACUUGGAUGGGAGACCGCCUGGGAUUACCAGGUGCUGUAGGCU